AGAUUAAGCCAUGCAUGUGUCAGUACAAGCUAAAUCAAAGUGAAACCGCAAAUGGCUCAUUAAAUCAGCUAUGAUUCAUUGGAUCUGUACACCCAGUUUUCCUUGGAUAACUGUGGUAAUUCUAGAGCUAAUACAUGCACCUAGUCCCUGACCUCACGGGAAGGGCGCUUUUAUUAGAAUCCAAACCGGUCGGGCUUCGGUCUGUCAAACCAGUUGUGGUGACUCUGGAUAACUUAAGCUGAGCGCACGGUCUUUGCACUGGCGCCGCUUCUUUCAAGUGUCUGCCUUAUCAGCUUUCGAUUGUAGGUUAUGUGCCUACAAUGGCUAUAACGGGUAACGGGGAAUCAGGGUUCGAUUCCGGAGAGGGAGCCUGAGAAACGGCUACCACAUCCAAGGAAGGCAGCAGGCGCGCAAAUUACCCACUCCCAGCUCGGGGAGGUAGUGACGAAAAAUAACGAUGCGAGACUCAUCCGAGGCCUCGCAAUCGGAAUGAGUACACUUUAAAUCCUUUAGCGAGGAUCGAUUGGAGGGCAAGUCUGGUGCCAGCAGCCGCGGUAAUUCCAGCUCCAAUAGCAUAUAUUAAAGUUGUUGCGGUUAAAAAGCUCGUAGUUGGAUUUCGGGAUCGGACUGAAGGUUAGCCGUGAGGCGUUUAAAACCUUUCAAGUUCCGUGACGAGCUAUCGCAAACAACUUUGUGUAUGCACAGGCUAGCUCACAUGGGAUGCUCUUAAUCGAGUGUCCUGCGUGGCUGGUAUGUUUACUUUGAAAAAAUUAGAGUGCUCAGAGCAGGCCAACUGAAUGGCCUGAAUGACUAUGCAUGGAAUAAUAAAAAAGGACCUCGGUUCUAUUUUGUCCGGGCUUUUGGUGGAACCCGAGGUAAUGACUAAGAGAGACUAAUGGGGGCAUUAGUACUGCGACGCUAGAGUGAAUUCUUGGACCGUCGCAGACAGAGUUUCAUUAAUCAAGAACGAAAGUUAGAGGUUCGAAGGCGAUCAGAUACCGCCCUAGUUCUAACCAUAAACGAUGCUGACCAGCGAUCCGCCGGUGUUAUAACCAUGACUCGGCGGGCAGCUUUCCGGGAAACCAAAGUCUUUGAGUUCCGGGGGAAGUAUGGUUGCAAAGUUGAAACUUAAAGGAAUUGACGGAAGGGCACCACCAGGAGUGGAGCCUGCGGCUUAAUUUGACUCAACACGGGAAACCUCACCAGGCCCAGACACUGGAAGGAUUGACAGAUUGAGAGCUCUUUCUCGAUUCAGUGGGUGGUGGUGCAUGGCCGUUCUUAGUUGGUGGAGUGAUUUGUCUGGUUAAUUCCGAUAACGAACGAGACUCUGGCCUAUUAACUAGUCGACGGAUUUCCAUGAAUUGGUGUCCAGUUCGCAACUUCUUCUUAGAGGGAUAAGCGGUAGUCCUAGCCGCACGAGAUUGAGCAAUAACAGGUCUGUGAUGCCCUUAGAUGUUCUGGGCCGCACGCGCGCUACACUGAACAGAUCAGCGUGUUUUCCCUCUCCGAGAGGAGCGGGUAACCCAUUGAAAGCUGUUCUUGAUAGGGAUUGGGGCUUGCAAUUGUUUCCCAUGAACGAGGAAUUCCCAGUAAGCGCAAAUCAUUAGUUUGCGUUGAUUAAGUCCCUGCCCUUUGUACACACCGCCCGUCGCUACUACCGAUUGAAUGAUUUAGUGAGGCCUUCGGACUGGCACUCUUGGAUUCUCUGGCUAUAUGCCUUGUUCCUCGAGUUGACGGAAAGAUGUCCAAACUUGAUCAUUUAGAGGAAGUAAAAGUCGUAACAAGGUUUCC
rnacentral:rRNA from 1 species